rnacentral:rRNA from 1 species
AACGAACGCUGGCGGCAGGCCUAAUACAUGCAAGUCGAGGGGCCCGUAAGGGCACCGGCGCACGGGUGCGUAACGCGUGGGAAUAUACCCCUCACUACGGAACAACGUCGGGAAACUGACGCUAAUACCGUAUGAUGACUCCGGUCCAAAGAUUUAUCGGUGAAGGAUUAGCCCGCGUCUGAUUAGCUAGUUGGUGAGGUAACGGCUCACCAAGGCGACGAUCAGUAGCUGGUCUGAGAGGAUGAUCAGCCACACUGGGACUGAGACACGGCCCAGACUCCUACGGGAGGCAGCAGUAAGGAAUAUUGGACAAGGGAGGAAACUCUGGUCCAGCCAUGCCGCGUGAGGGAAGAAGGCCUUCGGGUUGUAAAGCUCUUUUAAUCGUGAAGAUAAUGACGGUAGCGAUAGAAAAAGCUCCGGCUAAAUUCGUGCCAGCCGCCGCGGUAA